rnacentral:rRNA from 1 species
CUGCAACUCGCCUGCAUGAAGUCGGAAUUGCUAGUAAUCGUAGGUCAGCAUACUACGGUGAAUACGUUCCCGGGCCUUGUACACACCGCCCGUCAAACCAUGAGAGUUGGCAACACCCGAAGUCGGUAGUCUAACCGCAAGGAGGACGCCGCCGAAGGUGGGCUUGAUAAUUGGGGUGAAGUCGUAACAAGGUAUC